GGAAAGGGCAGGAGCCGGACCAAGGUGAGGACAGCGGAACUGAAGGCCGCUGGUUACCUCUCCUGCCCUCUGCUGGCCACAGUGGAGAAGACAGCCCCUCCCUCCUGCUCUGACCUGACAGUGUUCAUCCAUCGCCCUGUAUUAGCGAAGAACAACAUCAAGCUGGCUAGCAAGGAACUGUAUACAGGGUCCAGCUGGGUAUCACACUGGAUCUCACCCAAAGCUGAGAUGUGAUCCAGCUCCGUAUCACAAAGCAGAACGAAAAGGAUGUGUUUGGGCUGAGAGGCCAUACAUUGGCUCCGGCACGACGGGUGGCUUCUGCAGCACACAGGGCUUCGCCAGCACCCAGCUCCUGCAGCAUGGGCAGCUCCUGUGACAGCAGGCGCCCACAGCCUGCAAAGCGUCUCCAGUGCCGCCGCCUCAGUGAACCGCAACCAGCGGCACCUAGCAGCUUUCUCCGCCACCCUCUUCAGGUAGUUCUGUAGCAGCGCGUUUCUCAUGAGACACUUCCCUGUGAGCAGCUUUUUCUACCCUUGAGGAUGGAUUUCCAGCAAAUUCUGCCCAUGUGGUACCACAGCCACUUCUCUGCCAUUCAGUGAAACUGCCGUUGUGCCCUCUUCAAGGUCUGGAUCUAAGCCCAGGGACCAGGAAACCUCUUGCUUGAGUGCUGGAACUCAGGCCAGAAGGUAUGGCUGCUGCUAUGUGCUGUGACCAGAGAAUCAGAGUUCUCUUUACUUCUUACCAGCCAACCUCUUGAAAAUGCCUUUUUGUUUUUUGUUUUUUUUGAGACGGAGUCUCGCUCUGUUGCCCAGGCUGGAGUGCAGUGGCUCACUGCAACCUCCGCCUCCUGAGUUCAAGUGAUUCCCCUGCCUCAGCCUCACGAGUAGGUGGGAUUACAGGCAUGUGCCACCACGCCCAGCUAAUUUUGUAUUUUUCGUAGUGACGGGGUUUCUCCAUGUUGGUCAGGUUGGUCUCAAACUCUCGACCUCAGGUGAUCAACCUGUCUCAGCCUCCCAAAGUGCUGGGAUUACAGACGUUAGCUACAGCGCCCAGUCUAAGCCCUUUAUAGUUUAAUUCUAUAUAUUAAAUUUUCCCAGUUCAAA
rnacentral:antisense_RNA from 1 species